rnacentral:rRNA from 1 species
UUCGGAGUUAGUGGCGGACGGGUGAGUAACACGUGGGAACGGGCCUUUAGGUUCGGAAUAACUCAGGGAAACUUGUGCUAAUACCGAAUGUGCCCUUCGGGGGAAAGAUUUAUCGCCUUUAGAGCGGCCCGCGUCUGAUUAGCUAGUUGGUGAGGUAAAGGCUCACCAAGGCGACGAUCAGUAGCUGGUCUGAGAGGAUGAUCAGCCACAUUGGGACUGAGACACGGCCCAAACUCCUACGGGAGGCAGCAGUGGGGAAUCUUGCGCAAUGGGCGAAAGCCUGACGCAGCCAUGCCGCGUGAAUGAUGAAGGUCUUAGGAUUGUAAAAUUCUUUCACCGGGGACGAUAAUGACGGUACCCGGAGAAGAAGCCCCGGCUAACUUCGUGCCAGCAGCCGCGGUAAUACGAAGGGGGCUAGCGUUGCUCGGAAUUACUGGGCGUAAAGGGAGCGUAGGCGGACAUUUAAGUCAGGGGUGAAAUCCCGGGGCUCAACCUCGGAAUUGCCUUUGAUACUGGGUGUCUUGAGUAUGAGAGAGGUGUGUGGAACUCCGAGUGUAGAGGUGAAAUUCGUAGAUAUUCGGAAGAACACCAGUGGCGAAGGCGACACACUGGCUCAUUACUGACGCUGAGGCUCGAAAGCGUGGGGAGCAAACAGGAUUAGAUACCCUGGUAGUCCACGCCGUAAACGAUGAUUGCUAGUUGUCGGGAUGCAUGCAUUUC